GUCCACGCCGUAAACGAUGUCGACUUGGAGGUUGUUCCCUUGAGGAGUGGCUUCCGGAGCUAACGCGUUAAGUCGACCGCCUGGGGAGUACGGCCGCAAGGUUAAAACUCAAAUGAAUUGACGGGGGCCCGCACAAGCGGUGGAGCAUGUGGUUUAAUUCGAUGCAACGCGAAGAACCUUACCUACUCUUGACAUCCAGCGAAUUCGGCAGAGAUGCCUUAGUGCCUUCGGGAACGCUGAGACAGGUGCUGCAUGGCUGUCGU
rnacentral:rRNA from 1 species